GUUGAAACACCCGUUCCUAUACGAUCACCGAAGUUAAGCAACGUCAAACCUGGUCAGUACCAAGAUGGAUGACCGCUUGGUAGUGUCAGGUGUUGUAAG